rnacentral:snRNA from 1 species
GGGCUCACUUCAGCAGCACAUAUACUAAAACUGGAAAGACACAGAGAAGAAGAGCAAGAUAGCACAGCCCCUGCACAAGGAUGGCAUGCAAACUCAUGAAACAUUCCAUAUUUUU